AACGCUGGCGGCAGGCCUAACACAUGCAAGUCGAACGGUAACAGGAAGCAGCUUGCUGCUUCGCUGACGAGUGGCGGACGGGUGAGUAAUGUCUGGGAAACUGCCCGAUGGAGGGGGAUAACUACUGGAAACGGUAGCUAAUACCGCAUAACGUCGCAAGACCAAAGAGGGGGACCUUCGGGCCUCUUGCCAUCGGAUGUGCCCAGAUGGGAUUAGCUUGUUGGUGAGGUAACGGCUCACCAAGGCGACGAUCCCUAGCUGGUCUGAGAGGAUGACCAGCCACACUGGAACUGAGACACGGUCCAGACUCCUACGGGAGGCAGCAGUGGGGAAUAUUGCACAAUGGGCGCAAGCCUGAUGCAGCCAUGCCGCGUGUAUGAAGAAGGCCUUCGGGUUGUAAAGUACUUUCAGCGGGGAGGAAGGUGUUGUGGUUAAUAACCACAACAAUUGACGUUACCCGCAGAAGAAGCACCGGCUAACUCCGUGCCAGCAGCCGCGGUAAUACGGAGGGUGCAAGCGUUAAUCGGAAUUACUGGGCGUAAAGCGCACGCAGGCGGUCUGUCAAGUCGGAUGUGAAAUCCCCGGGCUCAACCUGGGAACUGCAUUCGAAACUGGCAGGCUUGAGUCUCGUAGAGGGGGGUAGAAUUCCAGGUGUAGCGGUGAAAUGCGUAGAGAUCUGGAGGAAUACCGGUGGCGAAGGCGGCCCCCUGGACGAAGACUGACGCUCAGGUGCGAAAGCGUGGGGAGCAAACAGGAUUAGAUACCCUGGUAGUCCACGCCGUAAACGAUGUCUAUUUGGAGGUUGUGCCCUUGAGGCGUGGCUUCCGGAGCUAACGCGUUAAAUAGACCGCCUGGGGAGUACGGCCGCAAGGUUAAAACUCAAAUGAAUUGACGGGGGCCCGCACAAGCGGUGGAGCAUGUGGUUUAAUUCGAUGCAACGCGAAGAACCUUACCUGGUCUUGACAUCCACAGAACUUUCCAGAGAUGGAUUGGUGCCUUCGGGAACUGUGAGACAGGUGCUGCAUGGCUGUCGUCAGCUCGUGUUGUGAAAUGUUGGGUUAAGUCCCGCAACGAGCGCAACCCUUAUCCUUUGUUGCCAGCGGUCCGGCCGGGAACUCAAAGGAGACUGCCAGUGAUAAACUGGAGGAAGGUGGGGAUGACGUCAAGUCAUCAUGGCCCUUACGACCAGGGCUACACACGUGCUACAAUGGCAUAUACAAAGAGAAGCGACCUCGCGAGAGCAAGCGGACCUCAUAAAGUAUGUCGUAGUCCGGAUUGGAGUCUGCAACUCGACUCCAUGAAGUCGGAAUCGCUAGUAAUCGUGGAUCAGAAUGCCACGGUGAAUACGUUCCCGGGCCUUGUACACACCGCCCGUCACACCAUGGGAGUGGGUUGCAAAAGAAGU
rnacentral:rRNA from 1 species